rnacentral:tRNA from 1 species
GGGCCGUUAGCUCAAUCGGAAGAGCACCUGGCUUUUAACCAGGGGGUAGGUGGAUCAAAGCCACCACGGCCCA